UACAGAGGUCUCAAGCGUUGUUCGGAUUCAUUGGGCGUAAAGGGUGCGUAGGUGGCGGGGUAAGUCUGGUGUGAAAUCCUGGGGCUCAACCCCGGAACUGCACUGGAUACUGCUUUGCUAGAGUACUGGAGAGGGAACUGGAAUUUACGGUGUAGCAGUGAAAUGCGUAGAUAUCGUAAGGAAGACCAGUGGCGAAGGCGAGUUCCUGGACAGUUACUGACACUGAGGCAGCGAAGGC
rnacentral:rRNA from 1 species